rnacentral:rRNA from 1 species
UGCGAGCCGACAGGUUAUCCGAGUGAUUUCUGCUAAAGAAAUCUUUCGUUAGUCCUAGAAACACUAACGAAUAAGGGGUGGGCAAGUUCUGGUGUCAGCCGCCGCGGUAAAACCAGCACCUCAAGUGGUCAGGAUGAUUAUUGGGCCUAAAGCAUCCGUAGCCGGCUCUGUAAGUUUUCGGUUAAAUCUGUACGCUCAACGUACAGGCUGCCGGGAAUACUGCAUAGCUAGGGAGUGGGAGAAGUAGACGGUACUCGGUAGGAAGUGGUAAAAUGCUUUGAUCUCUCGAUGACCACCUGUGGCGAAGGCGGUCUACUAGAACACGUCCGACGGUGAGGGAUGAAAGCUGGGGGAGCAAACCGGAUUAGAUACCCGGGUAGUCCCAGCUGUAAACUAUGCAAACUCAGUGAUGCAUUGGCUUGUGGCCAAUGCAGUGCUGCAGGGAAGCCGUUAAGUUUGCCGCCUGGGAAGUACGUACGCAAGUAUGAAACUUAAAGGAAUUGGCGGGGGAGCAC